CAGUCGCCGCGGUAAUACGAAGGGGGCUAGCGUUGUUCGGAUUUACUGGGCGUAAAGGGCGCGUAGGCGGGCUGAUAAGUCAGGGGUGAAAUCCCAAGGCUCAACCUUGGAACUGCCUUUGAUACUGUUUGUCUUGAGUUCGAGAGAGGUAAGUGGAACUGCGAGUGUAGAGGUGAAAUUCGUAGAUAUUCGCAAGAACACCAGUGGCGAAGGCGGCUUACUGGCUCGAAACUGACGCUGAGGCGCGAAAGCGUGGGGAGCAAACAGGAUUAGAUACCCCAGUAGUCCCUGUCUCUUAUAC
rnacentral:rRNA from 1 species